GCCCGGGUGGCGGAAUUGGUAGACGCGCUGCGUUGAGGGCGCAGUGGGGGAAACCUCGUGCGGGUUCGAGUCCCGCCUCGGGCACCA
rnacentral:tRNA from 1 species